UACGGGGGGGGCAAGCGUUGUUCGGAAUUACUGGGCGUAAAGGGCUCGUAGGGGGCCAACUAAGUCAGACGUGAAAUCCCUCGGCUUAACCGGGGAACUGCGUCUGAUACUGGAUGGCUGGAGUAUGGGAGAGGGAUGCGGAAUUCCAGGUGUAGCGGUGAAAUGACGUAGAUAUCUGGAGGAACACCGGUGGCGAAGGCGGCAUCCUGGACCAUUACUGACGCUGAGGAGCGAAAGCCAGGGGAGCAAACGGG
rnacentral:rRNA from 1 species